rnacentral:rRNA from 1 species
UACGGAGGGUGCGAGCGUUGUCCGGAAUCACUGGGCGUAAAGGGCGCGUAGGUGGCGCCGCAAGUCAACGGUGAAAGCUCGGCGCUCAACGCCGAGUCGGCCGUCGAGACUGCGGGGCUGGAGCACUGUAGAGGCUCAUGGAAUUCCGGGUGUAGCGGUGGAAUGCGUAGAGAUCCGGAAGAACACCGGUGGCGAAGGCGGUGAGCUGGGCAGUUGCUGACACUGAGGCGCGACAGCGUGGGGAGCAAACAGG